CGCAAGACUGCUUGGGAAGCAAAUUAUACUCGGAGUUAUACCUCUCAUCCUAAGUAGUCUUUGGUCUUUUAUUUUCAGGACUGGAACUAAACAUGGUGAAACAGGUCUUGCCUCUGACUCAAAUAGAGCCCAGAAGACACAUGGACGCCAUGCAAAGAAAAAUUAAGAAAAAUCCACUCUGUAAUUAAGCAAAUCUAAGGAUUCUAGAAGCACCUCUCGCUGAAACCCAAAGAAGUCCUCCUCCUUCUGGGCUUUCACAACCCAGUAUCUUCCUUCC
rnacentral:lncRNA from 1 species